rfam:Deltaproteobacteria bacterium GWB2_55_19 gwb2_scaffold_3887, whole genome shotgun sequence.
GUUGAGUCCCCGGCUCGCUGACUGACCUGUGCACAUCCGUGUGCUUGUUCAUUCAGCGUUUUGUCAGACUCAACCAGACCUCAGCCCUUCGGGGCUACGUUAGGGGUGAAUACAUAGGCACUCCGGGAUACUUCUCCAGUCCCGGACUCUGCGGCAGGGGGUUAAACAGGACGGACCGGGUAAACGGACAGUGCUCCCUGCAUAAAACCACCCCAUAACAUUGGCGAGGAGACCUUAAC